rnacentral:rRNA from 1 species
CCUUCGUGAGGCAGCAGUGGGGAAUAUUGGUCAAUGGGCGCAAGCCUGACCCAGCAACGCCGCGUGAAGGAAGAAGGCUUUCGGGUUGUAAACUUCUUUUCUCAGGGACGCAGAAAGUGCCGGUACCUGAGGUAUACGCCACCGCUAUCUAUGUGCCCGCAGCCGCGGUAAUACGUAGGUGGCAAGCGUUAUCCGGAUUUAUUGGGUGUAAAGGGCGCGUAGGCGGGAGCGCAAGUCAGAUGUGAAAAUUACGGGCGCAACCCUGAGCGUGCAUUGGAAACUGUGUUUCUUGAGUGCUGGAGAGGCAAGCGGAAUUCGGUGUGUAGCGGUGAAAUGCGUAGAUAUACGGAGGAACACCAGUGGCGAAGGCGGAUUGCUGGACAGUAACUGACGCUGAGGCUCGAAAGCGUGGGGAGCAAACAGGAGUAGAUACCCGGGUAGUC